rfam:Ictidomys tridecemlineatus contig095427, whole genome shotgun sequence.
GAGGUUGUGGCUCAGCGGUAGAGCCCUGGCCUGGCAUGGGUGAGGCACUGGGUUCGAAUCUCAGCACCCACA